rnacentral:rRNA from 1 species
GAUGAACGCUGGCGGCGUGCUUAAUACAUGCAAGUCGAGCGAAGCACUUUAACGGAAUUCUCCGGAAGGAAGGUAAAGUGACUGAGCGGCGGACGGGUGAGUAACGCGUGGGUAACCUGCCUUAUACAGGGGGAUAACAGUUGGAAAUGACUGCUAAUACCGCAUAAGACCACAGUACCGCAUGGUGCAGGGUUAAAAACUCCGGUGGUAUGAGAUGGACCCGCGUCUGAUUAGGUAAUUGGUGGGGUAACGGCCUACCAAGCCGACGAUCAGUAGCCGACCUGAGAGGGUGACCGGCCACAUUGGGACUGAGACAUGGCCCAA